rfam:Sedimenticola thiotaurini strain SIP-G1, complete genome.
UAUCGGUCCCCUCGCAACGAAAAGCUGUGAACCCGGUCAGGCCCGGAAGGGAGCAGCCGCAGCAGUGGACUCGUGUGCCGGGGUGUGGCUGGUACGG